GUAAGAAAAAGAACUUUAUUGGAUGAAUUAUAGUUAGACUAUUGUUGUCCUACGUACUGGACAACUUCUUUGGGUAUAUAACCAUGCUUUUAUACACUCGUGGUGAUCAAUGAUCAAUGAGCAUUGUAGUCACGUUUUUUAUAUAUAUACUAGGUUCGGACCUGCGCUACAGCGCGGAGGAAUGUUUUCGGAUUUAUGUUAUUUUUAGCGUAUUUUAUCGUAUGUUAUUUUUUUUUUUCAGUAUCAGUAACUAUUAUUUCGAAAUGUAUAUUUAGUUUCAAUUCUUUGGGAAAAGUGUGUAUUGGAAAAUAAAAUACAAUAUUUAAAUAAAACAAAUAAAAGAACUAACCCGUAAA
rnacentral:lncRNA from 1 species